rnacentral:rRNA from 1 species
AUAAUCAUUUGGCCUUUAAUUGAGGUCUAGUAUGAAUGGAAAAACGGAGAUUUACUGUCUUUAUAGAGUUUGUUUGAAAUUACUUAUUAGGUGCAAAUGCCUAUUUUUUAAUAAUAAAGACGAGAAGACCCUUAGAAUUUUUAUUAAACUAAUUCUAAAUGAUUUAGAGAUUUUUGUUGGGGCAACAAAGUAGCAUGAGCAAUAUUAUUACUCGAUUAAAAUCUACUUAAUACUUUUUAAUAUUAUAAGCCGGUUAUAUUACAUGCAUAGAUAAAUUACCUUAGGGAUAACAGCAUAAUU